AUUGAACGCUGGCGGCAGGCCUAACACAUGCAAGUCGAGCGGUUGACGGGAGCUUGCUCCCUGAUUCAGCGGCGGACGGGUGAGUAAUGCCUAGGAAUCUGCCUAUUAGUGGGGGACAACGUUUCGAAAGGAACGCUAAUACCGCAUACGUCCUACGGGAGAAAGCAGGGGACCUUCGGGCCUUGCGCUAAUAGAUGAGCCUAGGUCGGAUUAGCUAGUUGGUGAGGUAAUGGCACACCAAGGCGACGAUCCGUAACUGGUCUGAGAGGAUGAUCAGUCACACUGGAACUGAGACACGGUCCAGACUCCUACGGGAGGCAGCAGUGGGGAAUAUUGGACAAUGGGCGAAAGCCUGAUCCAGCCAUGCCGCGUGUGUGAAGAAGGUCUUCGGAUUGUAAAGCACUUUAAGUUGGGAGGAAGGGCAGUAAGUUAAUACCUUGCUGUUUUGACGUUACCGACAGAAUAAGCACCGGCUAACUCUGUGCCAGCCGCCGCGGUAAGAC
rnacentral:rRNA from 1 species